rnacentral:rRNA from 1 species
AACGAACGCUGGCGGCAGGCCUAACACAUGCAAGUCGAACGCCCUAGCAAUAGGGAGUGGCAGACGGGUGAGUAACACGUGGGAACGUGCCCUUCGGUUCGGAAUAACUCAGGGCAACUUGAGCUAAUACCGGAUACGUGCGAGAGCAGAAAGAUUUAUCGCCGAAGGAACGGCCCGCGUCGGAUUAGCUAGUUGGUGAGGUAAUGGCUCACCAAGGCGACGAUCGGUAGCUGGUCUGAGAGGAUGACCAGCCACACUGGGACUGAGACACGGGCCAGACUCCUACGGGGUGCAGCAGUGGGGAAUAUUGGACAAUGGGGGGAAGCCUGAUCCAGCCAUGCCGGGUGAGUGAUGAAGGCCCUAGGGUUGUAAAGCUCUUUCGCCAGGGACGAUAAUGACGGUACCUGGAUAAGAAGCCCCGGCUAACUUCGUGCCAGCCGCCGCGGUAA